CUUACUUCCUUUCCGGGAUAAGCGGAUUUCGCUUUGGGGGAAAGGAUGGGGGGGUCAUCAAACAGCCGGGGGCUUUUUUUUUUGACGUUAUUGCAGUAUGGGAAUCUGUCAAGCCUCUUGGCCGGAAUCGAUCGCACGAUUGUCAUGGGUAGCGUAGCUGCCCUGCAUGUUCAACCUUUGUCCUCGAAACCCAUUAAGCACUGAAUGAGAUUUGGGCGAGCCGCCGGCGUCUUACGGCGGGGGAGCGCGCAACGCGGGCCUGUAGCUCAGUUGGUUAGAGCGCACCCCUGAUAAGGGUGAGGUCGGUAGUUCGACUCUACCCAGGCCCACCAUCUUAGCCAAGCACCUUCACGGGGCUGUAGCUCAGCUGGGAGAGCACCUGCUUUGCAAGCAGGGGGUCACCGGUUCGAUCCCGGUCAGCUCCACCAACUUCUCAUUUGGCUGCUUCCAGAUCGGAGCCUUCAGUAUCCAUGCUGAAGACUUCAAUCUGGAAGCAGGCUGGCGAUUCAGUCGGUCUUUAACUGGAUCAGUCUGGCAGGUUUCAACGGCCUCAGGGCCGGUCCUUCCCGGCGAAAGGGAAGGUUUGGAUGUUUGACAACGAAAUUGAUUGGGUAACGCGAUUGGAGAGCUGCGUGUCCGCCGUGAGGCGCACAGGUCAGCAGCAAAAGUUUCCAAGAGCGUAUACAUACAAGGCCAAGCACAAGCAUGAGUCAGCAAUGAUUCAGGCAAGUGUUCAAGUAAGAAGAGUGUCUUUAGGAGAUGUAAUUCGAACCCGCGUGAGCGUGGUCGAGUUACUCUCAAGGCGAAUAACUGGGACUAACUUGAGGCAGGACUGAAGUGAUUCAGCUCCCUGCGCUGGAGUUAAUUCUAUGGUCAAGCUACUAAGGGCGCACGGUGGAUGCCUUGGCAGAGACAGGCGAUGAAGGACGUGGCAAGCUGCGAUAAGCUUCGGUAAGCCGCACACAGGCGUUAUAACCGGAGAUUU
rnacentral:misc_RNA from 1 species